rnacentral:miRNA from 1 species
CAUCUUCCAGUGCAGUGUUGGA